AACCUUAAAAUGCAUAUGCGUGGGGUCUGUGUGUUAUUGUAUAAAAGAGCUGCAAGUUGUCAAUGUAUUCAGAUCAGUAGAGAAUAGAAUUGGGAUUAGAUUAAUUGCUGGAAGUAGUUAGCAUUGCCCAAUUUAAGUACUACUACCGGCUAAAUUCUAACCAAUUUGCAAAUCUCGACACGUUGUAAUGCCGUUUCCUGACCAUCAGAUUUCUGUCAAAUCUUCCCCCAAAGUCCAGGAAAUGGCAUUUCAGAGACUCUAAAUUCAAAAAUUUUCCUGGGGGAGGGCAUGCUCCCGGACUCCCCUAGACAAACCUCGCACCUGCAGCUCUCGGCUCGUGCCUUCGGCCCUCGUUUAUGAAGCGUAAUAUUAUAGGGGCGCAUAUUGGUUGCCAGCCGACUGGCCCCCCCAGAAAAAUAGUACCCAGCACGCCACUGAAUUAUAACGCCGCGAAGAUAUUUUGCGGGAACGAUAUGGUAAUUCACAACAAAUAAUCUCAGCCCUCAUGGGCGAAUUACUUAAAAUACAACCAAGUAGUGGGGAAAAGUCAAGUCAAUUACCUUACAUUUAUGAUAACGUUAUACAGGGUGUAUAAAAAAACCUGAACAGAUUUAAAAUUGCUCUCAAUUUCGCAAAACAGCUAUUUGUAUCCGGUUUUCUAUAUAUAUAGCCUCUUUGCGUACUUAUAAUGUAGAAUAAUGAGAAAAAUUUCUCGAACUCAAAUUUUGUGAACUAGGGGGUGUGUCUUUUCCAACAAACUG